UGGGGCAAUAGCUCAACUGGAUAGAGCAUUGGUCUUCUAAACCAAAGGUUGUGGGUUCGAUUCCCACUUGCCCCAU
rnacentral:tRNA from 1 species